UAGGGAAUCUUCCACAAUGGACGCAAGUCUGAUGGAGCAACGCCGCGUGAGUGAAGAAGGUUUUCGGACCGUAAAGCUCUGUUGUUGGUGAAGAAGGAUAGAGGUAGUAACUGGCCUUUAUUUGACGGUAAUCAACCAGAAAGUCACGGCUAACUACGUGCCAGCAGCCGCGGUAAUACGUAGGUGGCAAGCGUUGUCCGGAUUUAUUGGGCGUAAAGCGAGCGCAGGCGGAAGAAUAAGUCUGAUGUGAAAGCCCUCGGCUUAACCGAGGAAUUGCAUCGGAAACUGUUUUCUUGAGUGCAGAAGAGGAGAGUAGAACUCCAUGUGUAGCGGUGGAAUGCGUAGAUAUAUGGAAGAAUACCAGUGGCGAAGGCGGCUCUCUGGUCUGCAACUGACGCUGAGGCUCGAAAGCAUGGGUAGCGAACAGGAUUAGAUACCCUGGU
rnacentral:rRNA from 1 species